AUUGAACGCUGGCGGCAUGCUUUACACAUGCAAGUCGAACGGUAACAGGCCGCAAGGUGCUGACGAGCGGCGAACGGGUGAGUAAUGCAUCGGAACGUGCCCAGUCGUGGGGGAUAACUACUCGAAAGAGUAGCUAAUACCGCAUACGAUCUAUGGAUGAAAGCGGGGGACCGUAAGGCCUCGCGCGAUUGGAGCGGCCGAUGUCAGAUUAGGUAGUUGGUGGGGUAAAGGCUCACCAAGCCAACGAUCUGUAGCUGGUCUGAGAGGACAACCAGCCACACUGGAACUGAGACACGGCCCAGACUCCUACGGGAGGCAGCAGUGGGGAAUUUUGGACAAUGGGCGCAAGCCUGAUCCAGCAAUGCCGCGUGCAGGAAGAAGGCCUUCGGGUUGUAAACUGCUUUUGUACGGAACGAAACGGCUCUGGUUAAUACCCGGGGCUAAUGACGGUACCGUAAGAAUAAGCACCGGCUAACUACGUG
rnacentral:rRNA from 1 species